CCGCCUCGCCUCCUCUCAGCCCGGGCCGGGGGCGCCGCCGCCCGCCCUCGCCCUCGGGAAAAGUUUCUCCCGGCCCCGGGACCCCCCUGCCCCGCUCUCGGCCGGCGGGGCCGAGGUCACCUCAGCCAAUACUUGGUUCCUGGGCACUCACCUGGGACAGGAGCCAGCUUGGUGGCCAGCCAAGUAGCUGUGCAGUGCCCAGUCCCAGGGACAGCACCGAGGAAGGUGUGCCAGGAUCAGGGCCCCAGCACUGAGCACUGACCAUCCUACGUAUCACAGUGCUGCUCUCCCCUUCCCUAGGGAGUAGCCUCCCGUUCUGGAUGUGAGAGACAUUAGAAGGAUGUUGUGAAAUAAAACCUAAAGAAGUCCACCGAGAUUCAUCAAUAAAGGGAGGAAUCCACGGACGAGAUUCAGUGUUACUGGGAGCCGUGGAAGUGAGGGAAGCCAAAAAGUGUCCUGCCACCUGCUCCCACUUGUGUUGCAGUUCAGUCCACCAGGGAUGGUGGCUUCCUCGGGCUGGUGGCUCCAGCAGUGGCAGGCUGGCAGCUGGGUGUGUAACACAGCCAUCAAAGACUUCAGGUGGGCACUUCAAUGUCCACCUUUCCUCUGUUUUUCCGUGUUCCUGCUCUAAUCGCACCAACAGAGCAGCCAAAAAUUAACCUCCUUCCACCUGGCCCAAACAGGCUCUUUUAGAAGAGUUUCUGGUGUCUGGCAGCAGCUUUGCCCUACCUUACAUAGACAAGUGCUAAAAUAAAUAUCAUCCUCUUAAAAUGUA